rnacentral:lncRNA from 1 species
CAACUCAAAUUCAAUCACAAUUUGAACCGAUAACUAAAUAUAAUAAGUAAGUGGACUACAAGUGAAAAACAAACUUUGAAAAUCAUUUUUAAUGGAAAACUCUUGGCUUUGAAAAAAAAAAAAAUUUAGUCAUAACUUAAUCUCAAAUACAUCUAAACAGAUCACAUUCUAUACAAGCAUAAGUUGAGUGUAAACAUAUUAAUACAAACAAGUAACUUUCAGCUGCGUCGCUUGUGAAUUGGUAACAACUUUGAAUAAAUCCACAAAAAUGGAUAAGCACGGAAGAACAAAAGAAAAAUGGUGAAGAGAUGAUUGAACUUACGAAAUAAAACUACAACACAUUUUGAUAGAGUUGUGCUAGAUGAUACCAAGACCAGAAAAAAGAUGAUUGCGUGAGGCCUUUAUGUGAAAGAAAAGCGACAAAUCUGUGUUACUACUUACUAGGAAUUGGGGGUAUUAACAUAUAAAACAAGAAGAUAAAAAGGGACGUAAGGGUCAAAUACUCGGGUGUAGAACAAGGGGCAAUUAAAUGAUACUUUUCCAAGGGUCAAAUACAGAAUAUUUUUUUUGAAGAAGCUAAAAUGAAAUUUAUUUAAAACACUAAGAAUCAUAGCAUGCACAAGAAAUGCUAGGCUAGGAGACUUAAAAAGCAACAUACAAAGGAAAAGUGUGCCUUAUAUAUGCGGAACACCCAUGUACAAAUGCAAACUUCUACAAACAAAUCAAAAACACCCUCCACUGAGGGCCCUCGAAAGCAAUAAAAACUAAACACCAAACCAAGAAGUCAUCACCAAAAACCAAAGUCUAAACGCCUUAAACAAGCCACACCGUCUAACAUCCAUGUAUUUGAAAACCUCAUCAACAACAAACUCAUAGAAGAAAACCUUCAAAAAGCAUAAUCACCACUAGCCACCACAAGCACCACCACCAACCCCAAACCUACUAUUAACCACCAAGAAAACCACCAUUAAUCCUCACCAAAAACCAGCACCAGCCACCACGAGCAUCACCACCAAAAAACAACAUCAGCCACCACGAGCAUCACCACCAAAAACCACCACGAGCACCACCACAAAAGACCAAGUAUCAGCACCACCAUGAAAACCACCACGAAACACCACAAUCCAACAUAACAAAAAAACAACGUACGAGCUUCUCAACAUCAUCACCACAAACAAAACUCACCGCCACAUAAAAAUAAAAUAAAAAUUAAUCUUAACACUUAUAAGUAACAAGACACUACCUUCCCCAUAAUACAACAUCAUAGGUACUAAAAGAGUGCUAGCAACCAAAAGUGCCAAAACAAAAGGUAACCUACACAUAACAAGACCCUCUGCCACACAUUGCUCCACCUAACAUGUUUUCCCUUAGACCUCUAAUUUCGUAAGUCCAUGCCUACAACCACAUUCAAGUAAUAUGGCUUAAACUCAACACUAACCCACACCUAAAAUUAUGCAGAAGCGGUAUGUCAAAAACCAUAGCAGCAUCAAAUUGAACAACCAUUAAAUAAGCUUUACACAUUGAAUACACCAACAGAACACAAACAUGACAAAUUAAGACCAUCAUGCACUCCCUAAACCAAUGAAAGGCAAACCUGCCACAAAAACGCAGCAACACCACAAAAACUACGUUGAGAACCACCACAAAAAACUAGCAGUACCACCACCACAAAAUCCCUCCGAAAACCAUCACAAACCACCAAAAAAAACGUAGCAAACUAACACCACCAUGAACGCGAGCGAUGGAGAAAACAACCACUGAGAGAAACCAGUGGCCGAGUGAUGCGGACGGCUUAAGCCAAUCAUCGCAUCACCAACGAUUGAAUCUACAUCGCGGCGGAUAUAGGCUGGAUUGGAAGGAAGGAGGGUGACGGUGGAGAUCUAGAGAGAGGUCAGAGAUGUUUUUCCAAAGAGAAAUUUAGGAUUUGCGUUUUUACAAAAGUUGAUUUUUAUAUAUUAAUAUACAGAAUAUAACUGUACUAUCUCUCAGAAGGAAUAUUCUCUUGCUAGAAAACAAUAAAAUGCCACCAUAUCACCUCCCUAAAAAUUAUAGUACUAUGACAUUGCUAUUAAUAUACAUAAUAUAAUUGUACAAUCUCUCAAAAGGAAUAUUCUCUUUCUAAAAAACAAUAAUUUUAGUCUUUAAA